UACAGAGACCCCGAGCAUUAUCCGGAAUUACUGGGCGUAAAGCGCGAGCAGCCGGUCGCAUUAGUCCGAUGUCAAACCGUGGGGCCCAACCCCACAUCUGCGUUGGAAACGGUGCGGCUUGAGCGGGUGAAAGGUGAGCAGAACGUACGGUGUAGGGGUGAAAUCCACUGAUAUCGUACGGAAUACCAAAAGCGAAGGCAGCUCACUGGCGCUCUGCUGACGGUCAAUCGCGAAAGCGUGGGGAUCAAAAAGGAUUAGAUACCCUUGUAGUCCACGCCCUAAACGUUGCCGACUAGCUAUCGGGAGCAUCGACCCUUCCGGUGGCGUAGCUAACGCGUUAAGUCGGUCGCCUGGGAAGUACGAUCGCAAGAUUAAAACUCAAAGGAAUAGGCGGGAACUCGCACAAGCAGUGGAUCAUGUGGUUCAAUUCGACUCUAACCGAGAAACCUCACCAGGGCUUGAAAUCCAGACGAAAUCCUCCGGAAACGGAGGACCCCGCAAGGCGGCUGGACAGGUGCUGCACGGCUGUCGUCAGCUCGUCACGUGAGUGGUCUCCUUAAGUGGAUGAACGAGCGCAACCCCUACUGCGUGUUACAAGUGUCACGCGGAACUGCUGCGGUAACGCAGAGGAAGGUGGGGACGACGUCAAGUCAGCGUGGCCCUCUGAUGCCCUGGGCUACACACAUGAUACAAUGGACGUUACAACGGGUUGCCAAGCCGCGAGGCGGAGCUAAUCCCAUCAAAGGCGUCCUCAGUUCGGAUAGGAGGCUGCAACUUGCCUCCUUGAAGCUGGAAUUGCUAGUAAUCGCGGAUCAGCAUGCCGCGGUGAAUACGUUCCCGAGUUU
rnacentral:rRNA from 1 species